UCUGACUCGCCGUAGCCUCUCAUGUCUACGGCCACCACCCGGAAUUCACUCUUGAACUCCCUGAGCUGGUGACGCCAUGAGAACCUGCGGGAAGCAGACCGUGCGGAGCGGAAGCAACGGACAUCUUUGCGUGCCCAUCUAGGUAAACCUGGUCUGACCUUUGUUCAGUGGCUGCAAAUGUCUUCUCAGACUUUCUCCUUAACGAUUUAAGGGAUCAGGAGAUGCCGCAGUUACUACCAGGUUAAUAUAGUGAAGCACAGAAUAAACAAUAAGGACGUGGAGAACUGCAAAGAUCGUUUUGAUGACGUUGCGGUUGCCAUGGAGACAAGAACUGUGACCGUGGUGACCUUUGCAGUAGGGACACGGUGAGCAUCGUCCUUGUGGAUAAAAGAGGAGGACACAUGUCGAGCUUCUGCAGAGUGAGAGUCCUGACUGCAUGUGUACCCCUACAGACUUCCUCUCGGAUAUUCCUUCAUGCAGAUCUCUACAUACAUGCGCACUAGCCAGGAUCGCAGAAUGCAGGGAACUGGCGUCACCAUCUAUGGACCAGAGAACAACGGGCAAAAAGUGGAAACCGUAGGAUCAGGGAGAUGAAUGAGGUGAAAUCUGCUAAUCACUA